GGGAAUUGCAUUGGAUACUGCAUAUCUGGAGAUCGGUAGAGGCUGGUAGAAUUGCUGGUGUAGCGGUGGAAUGCGUAGAGAUCAGCAAGAAUACCCGUGGCGAAGGCGGCCAGCUGGGCCGAAUCUGACGCUGAGGCGCGAAAGCGUGGGGAGCAAACAG
rnacentral:rRNA from 1 species